rnacentral:rRNA from 1 species
AGCAGCCGCCACGGUAAAACGUAGGUCCCGAGCGUUAUCCGGAUUUAUUGGGCGUAAAGCGAGCGCAGGCGGUUAGAUAAGUCGGAAGUUAAAGGCUGUGGCUUAACCAUAGUACGCUUUGGAAGCUGUUUAACUUGAGUGCAGAAGGGGAGAGUGGAAUUCCAUGUGUAGCGGUGAAAUGCGUAGAUAUAUGGAGGAACACCGGUGGCGAAAGCGGCUCUCUGGUCUGUAACUGACGCUGAGGCUCGAAAGCGUGGGGAGCAAACAGGAUUAGAUACCCCCGUAGUCCCUGUCUCUUAUACA